rnacentral:lncRNA from 1 species
UAUUCUUGAGGUCUUGCAAGAUGGGUCCACAUUUUCCAAAUUGGCUUCAAACUCAGAAAAGUUAUCGGACGCUUGAUAUUUCUAAUGCUGGAAUUUCUGAUAUCCUUCCAAGUUGGUUUUGGGAAAGGCUGUCUCAUGCUCCUGAAAUUGGUUAUGUAGAUCUCUCCAACAACCAAAUUAGAGGAACAAUUCCAAACUCGCAAAUCAAUUUUGUAUGUUUCUCUCGUCAACUAAAUUUGAGUUGGAACCAAUUGGAAGGUCAAGUCCCUCCAUUCCUAUUGAAAGCUUCGUCAUCUCUCUUUCUCUCCCACAAUAAAUUUUCAGGGUUGUUUUCUUUCUUGCUUCCAGUUAACGCAAGUCAUUUAAGAUUGCUUGAUCUCUCGAGCAACCAUUUACAUGGAGAACUUCCCGAUUGCUGGACUCAUUUCAAAAAUCUUUUAAUUCUUGAUUUGAGUGACAACCUUUUUUCUGGGAGAAUUCCUGCCACAAUGGGCUCUUUAUCUUCAAUUCAAACAUUGAACCUAAACACUAAUGGACUUGUGGGAGAAUUGCCUUCAUCUUUGAAGAACUGUACAAGUCUCAUAGUUUUUGAUGUUGGAGAAAAUAAAUUAUCAGGUUUGAUACCUGAAUGGUUAGGGGUUGGACUUCCAAAUUUGACUAUCCUUAUCCUCCGUUCUAAUCACUUCUAUGGAAGCAUUCCAUCACAAUUGUGUAAUAUGGGAAGCAUUCAAAUUCUGGAUUUCUCGAUGAAUAACAUCUCCGGAAGUAUACCCAAAUGUCUCAACAAUUUGACUAAUUUGGCUCUAAGAGGAAGUUCAAGUCUAACUAUCACUCACCUAUUUAAGGCAACCUCCACUGAUAUUGCUGUCAGUAUUUUUGAUUAUGAAGACGAAGCAUCCUUGAUAUGGAAUGGAAUAAUGUCCAAAUACAAAAGUACCCUGGGGCUUGUAAAGAGUAUCCAUCUGUCAAGUAAUCGAUUAACGGGGGAGAUUCCUAGUGAAGUCACUGAUCUUGUGGGGCUGGUUUCUUUAAACCUAUCAAGAAAUAACUUAACAGGUCAAAUAACUCCAAAAAUAGGAAAGUUGCAGUCUUUAGAUUUGCUUGAUUUGUCAAACAACCAAAUACAUGGUACAAUUCCAACAAGUCUCAUUGGAAUAUCUGGCCUUGGUAAGUUGGACCUGUCCAACAACAACCUAUCUGGAAAAAUUCCCAUCGGGUCUCAACUUCAACCCUAUGACGCCACUGUUUUUGCUGGAAAUCCUCUCCUUUGUGGAAUUCCACUUGAACAUAUGUGCUCUCCUAAGGAAACAACACUGGAGGAGCAACCAGUGGUAGACAAUCAAGAUGAAGAUGAUGACGGGUUUAUAACACCUGGAUUUUACAUGAGUUUGGGGCUUGGAUUUAUCAUUGGAUUCUGGGGAGUUUGUGGGAGUUUGAUAUUCAACAGGUCAUGGAGAUACAUGUACUUCAAACUCUUGAAUGGUUUAAAUGAUUGGCUUUAUAUCAAGGUGGCAUUGUUCAUGCAACGAAGAAUGCUCGAUGAAUAAGCUGUAAGUAUACUGUCACAUAAUGAAUAAUACUGCAAUUAACAUACAUGUCCUCCUCUCUUUUAAACUCCCGGCUAACGGCUAACGCCUGUAAUUUACUUGAAUUUUUGUAGCUCGUCCAUCGGCUUGUGUGGUACGACAUGCUAACCCCUUCGGCUUUUGGGUUGAGAAGGAGCCUGAAGGACAAUAGCUUUUAAGUUAUGGUGGAAUUUCUCCAAAUUCAUGAGUGGGAAAUGUAUUUGGUUCAUUGUCGAGUUGUAAUUUUACACAAAUAUUUAUGGUUUUAGUUUCAAUUUUUCCCAAUUUGUUAUGAAUUAAUGGAUGAAUAGACUGCGUUCCAAAUUGAAAGCCAGGAUUGAAGAGCUGUGUACAAGAGACUAAAAAGAGUGGCACUAAACGAAGACCAAAAAGAGUGCCACUAAACAAUGGACAUGAAUUAAAAUUUCAAAACUACAUUGAACUUGUUAAACAAAUUCAAAAAUAAGUGAGACGACCAGUUUGUGUAAUCUCAUACAAGCUUGUGAUAAACGAACAAGUUUGGCUCAUGAAAACAAAGGCAAAAUUAUUAUUAUUUUUAUUUAUUUGUUGCCUUAACAUACCAAACAGAAGCCCCCAAAAUCCAACUCCGGCUAAUUACCCCAACAAAAGAAGAUUAAAUUAUGAAGAAGGGAAAAAAUAAUUAUGUUUGGGUCCAAAUAAAUGAGAAUUGGAACUCUUGGUAGCCUGUUAGCAUCUGGUCAAAAUUGUUCCAGCCUGUGGCUGAUGAGAGUUUUGUUCGAGCCGUUUCCACUCUGGAUGUACUCCUGUAUGCACGAGAGGUAAGAGGAGUAAAAGGGAAUGUAAUGCUGAGUAAGUGCUCUACAGUUUAUUGUUUGUGGCUUGUUUUGAUCCUUCAGUAGAACGAUGCAGAAGCAGAUAAAACAGUGUAUUCAAAUAUUGAUCAAACAUUCAGGAUUGGUACAAUACUAGUGGAAUUAAGCUUGUCUGGGUGCGGGAAUAUCACUAAUCAAAUAGCUAAUGCACAGCUAACUUGACUGAAAAGGGAAGGGAGGAAAUAACGAUGUCCAUAUCAAUUCCUCUCACUUAGUAAAAUAAGAACGUGAUAGAAACAGAACAGCCAAUUAUGAAUAACCAGGAAUACGAAAAAAAAUUCUAAUGCAUAAUAUCAAUCAGCCCAUGAAAAAAAAAGAGAUUUUGGAAAACCACAUGUAGGAGACAGGAAAACAGAUUAUACUUUCCAACUUUCGCUCCACAACUAUAUGCUUUUACGGAUAUCAUAUGGUAAAGAGGAAUGUUGAAAAAACAAUUUCUUUUCGGGUUGCAUAGGUAAGUUUCACAGACCCACCGGGAUUAGCACUCGCCCUCCACCCUUGGUCUUAAGGAACAUGGCAUGUCAUUAGGUUCAAAAGCUAGUUGAAAGGAGAAACAUGUAAAGCAUUUGUAACCUUACCAAAAGAAACGAAAAUACCUUAGCACAGAUUUACUUAUGUGACAAUAGAUUAUGUAUCAGGAAAAAAACAAUGGUAGAAGCUUUCGGAAGGGAACAAAAAAGUAAGAAGAAAGAGAACAUACAAGCAUAUCUUCUGAAAGAACUGUUUCCAUUAAUGGAAAAUGUUACAGGCCUCCUUUCCUGACCCAAAGAUAGGAUCUCUUGCAUCCUUUCAGGCCAGUCUGAAUUUAACCUCCGAGCAAAAUCUUCAACCUCCCUGAACAACGAUUUAAGAAAAUAUGUAACAUUAGCAAGAACCAAGUUUUGUCUCUAUAAAUUGCGUAUUUACAUGCAGAACCAUGGUGGAGGAUGCAACUUGAAAUUCCAGUUACAUCCUUAUCAGAAAAUAAAAUAAACACUGACGAGAGAAAAAGACUUGCAGAACCAGAAGAGUGGGCGACCGGAACCAUGUUUCACAACAGAUGCUUAAUGGUGAUGACCAGAAUGAGAGCUCUUUUUCUUUAUAAACAUAAACAAAUAUUUAUUUAAAAUGUCCAAACAACUAUUGCACACAGAAAAUCAAAAACCAACAUCUCUCAAAGCCACCAUAAAGAGCUAGCAAAGGCAAAACAUUAUCCCCAAUGUUUACUCAUUUUUAUCACAGACCAACUUUUUUAAGCAACCUUUUUCAUCUUCUUAGCUGGGUGAGGAGUGGAUUUGAACAUGGGACAGUUUAAAAAAGAAGUGGAGAAAUACCACUACAUUAAUAGCUAUUUAGUUUUUAAGCAAACUCUGCAACAUUGAAAAACAAAUGACAAUUUGAAAUUCUUUUGCAGUUAUCAAAUUUCAUCUUCUAAUUGCAUAUCUUCAAUUUCAGAACUGCGUUCACAAAAAUAAAAUAAAAAAAGCAACGAAGUUGCACCAUAAUGAGAUCCACCAUUCUGUUUCCUUAAGCUUUCCAUAACUAAAGUCAUCAUCGACAAAGUUAUUACCACUGAGUUCAAUUCAGUACUUUUUCUUCCACAUGUUGCUCAACGUGAUAUAUUUUUUUUUUUCAUCCACUAAAAUUAAAAAAGAUGAUAUUAUAUUGCAAAUCGUGUAAUAACCCAAAAUAGUUGCAGACAAACCUAUCAAUUUUUUCCUUCAAUGCCGGAUCAAUCUCAUCAUCAAUAUCACCUUCAUCAAACCCAAUCAUAUCCUCCACCCUAUCAUCCUUUAGAUCUUGUAGCUUUAAUGUCAAACUAGAACUAGGCGUAAAUUUGUUGAGUUCAUCACUGGGGCAAGCAAAGUUAAGAUUGCUCGACACCUAAAACAUUUGGGCGAAAAGAAAAAUGAAGAAAAACUAGCUACCCAACAACUCAAGCAGAAAAGUACAAGUUCAAGACCGAAUUAGUGAUUCAAACCUCAUGGAUCUCAUUGGCCUCAUAUAGACACGUGCUUUUCUGCUGAUCUUUUCUCCUGCGAUUCUUCUUUUUGUUCUUGGAAGUUUUAAUUCCUUUGGAAUCUGUGAAACAUAAUUUCCUUACCUCCAAUGAGGCCUUCAAAAGGAAAUAAAGUAAAAAUAGACGACUAAGACACUACACUUCAAAUCCCAUUUAAAGGAAUCUUAAGUACUUCCAAGUACAGUAUAAUGUGGGCUAAUGCAAUCCUGAAAAAGAUUAGUAUCAAGUGUGCAUUGUGCAAUUUGCUCGUUGGAACUACAACCUACUCAAUGAUAAAUCCAAUUUCUCAAUUAACAAUAACCAUGCAGUCAAGGAAUAAGAGAGCAAUUACUCAGGUAUACCUCCAAUUUCUCCAUUAAUGAAUGACAAGAGAUCAUCAACUGAACGUUCAUCGUUUUGCUCUUCUUCGAGAUGACAAGAGAUCAUCAACUGAACGUUCAUCGUUUUGCUCUUCUUCGAGCUCGUCAUUCUGAAAAGUAUGGAAGGUUCAAUAAUGACUACCAAUAAGAAGGAUAUAUUAUUUAGCAUAGUAUAAAAGCCAGAAAACAUAUUAUGUAGUACGUUUUGAAUUUAGAUUCAUCAAAUACCAAACUCACCUUCAAUUUCUCUCUUUCCUGAAGUUCCCUCCUCUUUCUUGCAUAUAAUCGAUUCAAAAGUCGAAUGCGUGGAUCGUCAGUUGAAUUUUUCAAAGGCUCCAACUUCUCUUCCUGGAUGAUUUCUUAGUGGUGUUAAAAACAACAAAGAAACACCAAGUUUUUGCUAAGCAUACACAGAAAUCUCAAGCAUCGGAGACCUCUGUAAGAUCAUCAGGGAGAUGAAAUAUUUCACGUAUCUCCUCAGGUGUUUUCCCUUCAAUUAUUCGUGCAAGAGCACGACUAGUAAGAUCCACCAAUGGUUUUAAUUGGAGGCUGUCAGCUGCUGAAGUCAACUCACAGAGCAACUUUGCGUCCAUUCGGAUGUAUUUUUCAUCAAAAGCCUUGCAUUCCUACAUAAACGAGUGGUGCCGAGUCAUAUGAGCGUGCCAAGUUUACACCAGCAUCAGAGUAAACAUUUAAUCCAGUGUGCAGGUGGAGAUUAAUGUCCUCAAUAGCUCAAAUUUAUGCAAAACAGACAGAGGGCAUAGACUCAGAAAGAAGUAAAACAGAAUGACAUUCCAAAAACAUGUAGAACCUUGUUCGAGCGACCUGGUACUUGAUGAAAUCGGCAGUAAUCAAGAAUUAAGCUCAACAUUGCAGUACCGACUCUUUCAGGAAGAGAUAUUGCAUGGUUCUUGGAAGCUCCCAUCCCUUUCUGUAUAUUUUCUUUGCAUAUCAUAGGGCAAUACACGUGUUCGCUCCCUAAAUCCGCCAUGGCGCCUUGCGGGCAAGCCGGGGAUUUACUUCACAUAUGAGAUUGGUGGGUGCGGGCGUGCCACUACUAGAUGCCGCUAGUAGACGGGAUUUGAGUGAUUGAGGUUGCGCCUGAAUUUGCCCGAAUCAAGAGAUUGUGUCAUUUGAGUGGGAGUUGCUCAAAUUAAGGUUCUUUGUUUGCCUUAAAAAUAAGGACUUUACUUAUAUGGAGAGAUAGAACAAUAUGUAAAUGAUAAGGUUGCUUGGAAAUAUAAAUGACAGAGGAAAGUGACUAAAAUUGCAGAUUGCUUGUAAUUUAUAUGGCUGGAAAUGAGUACAUAACAGCUACAAAUGAGAUCGAUACCGCAAGUGAGCAGCAGAGCUAAUAAACUAGAUAAAAGAAGGCUUUUUGGUGAAGGUUUAUCCCGAAUGGGAUGAAGGUUUGGGCUGACUACAGCUUCGUUGAAGGCAAAUCUGGCUUGAGCAGAGUUUUGGCUUUUGUUUGUUUGUUUGAGUGUCCAUAAUCCUUGUGCAUCUGCUCCUUUUUAUAGAGGUCUGGAGGAAACCCUCCUGCUGAGGUUUUGUAUCUGCCCGAAAAAAGCUUGGGCAGCUUGUAUUCCAUUGCUUUAGACAGCUUGCAUGCUUUUCACUUGCCAACUUGCAUGGAGAAAUAAUAUUAAAAGGGGAACUUGCAUUUCCACCACAAGCUUUUAGCACAUGUUUUCCCACUUGUAAUAAACUAACAUUUAAAAGAAGCAAGUUGGAUUCUUUCACAUGUUCCUUGCCCGAAAGCUUGCUGAUGCUUUUCCAUCCACUUGCAAUACAUGCAUGUACCUUGAUUAAACAAAUGCUAGACAAACCUCCACCACCCAAACAAAUAGGAGAAACAAUAUUAUAGUGUCCAACCCCUCCACUUGCAUCUAAAUAUCUUUCCAAGUUAGCUUUCUUGCAUAUUAAUCCUCCAAAUGCCAUAUUUUACCCAAAUUGCCCAAAUAAGUAAAAAUGUGUAUAUUUUGAGUGCAAACAGUGCCCCCCAAGUUUUACAAAUUUGAGCAAAGUUUGUGAAACUUACAACCCCAAUGCUGCCAGGAUUGAUGUCGAAGGAAGAGGCACGUCUACAUCUUCAGUCCUUUCGUCGUUGAGAAACUUGGCAAGAUAUGUUCGCUCCCUAAAUCCGCCAUGGCGCCUUGCGGGCAAGCCGGGGAUUUACUUCACAUAUGAGAUUGGUGGGUGCGGGCGUGCCACUACUAGAUGCCGCUAGUAGACGGGAUUUGAGUGAUUGAGGUUGCGCCUGAAUUUGCCCGAAUCAAGAGAUUGUGUCAUUUGAGUGGGAGUUGCUCAAAUUAAGAUUCUUUGUUUGCCUUAAAAAUAAGGACUUUACUUAUAUGGAGAGAUAGAACAAUAUGUAAAUGAUAAGGUUGCUUGGAAAUAUAAAUGACAGAGGAAAGUGACUAAAAUUGCAGAUUGCUUGUAAUUUAUAUGGCUGGAAAUGAGUACAUAACAGCUACAAAUGAGAUCGAUACCGCAAGUGAGCAGCAGAGCUAAUAAACUAGAUAAAAGAAGGCUUUUUGGUGAAGGUUUAUCCCGAAUGGGAUGAAGGCUUGGGCUGACUACAGCUUCGUUGAAGGCAAAUCUGGCUUGAGCAGAGUUUUGGCUUUUGUUUGUUUGUUUGAGUGUCCAUAAUCCUUGUGCAUCUGCUCCUUUUUAUAGAGGUCUGGAGGAAACCCUCCUGCUGAGGUUUUGUAUCUGCCCGAAAGAAGCUUGGGCAACUUGUAUUCCAUUGCUUUAGACAGCUUGCAUGCUUUUCACUUGCCAACUUGCAUGGAGAAAUAAUAUUAAAAGGGGAACUUGCAUUUCCACCACAAGCUUUUAGCACAUGUUUUCCCACUUGUAAUAAACUAACAUUUAAAAGAAGCAAGUUGGCUUCUUUCACAUGUUCCUUGCUCGAAAGCUUGCUGAUGCUUUUCCAUCCACUUGCAAUACAUGCAUGUAUCUUGAUUAUACAAAUGCUAGACAAACCUCCACCACCCAAACAAAUAGGAGAAACAAUAUUAUAGUGUCCAACCCCUCCACUUGCAUCUAAAUAUCUUUCCAAGUUAGCUUUCUUGCAUAUUAAUCCUCCAAAUGCCAUAUUUUACCCAAAUUGCCCAAAUAAGUAAAAAUGGGUAUAUUUUGAGUGCAAACAGUGCCCCCCAAGUUUUACAAAUUUGAGCAAAGUUUGUGAAACUUACAACCCCAAUGCUGCCAGGAUUGAUGUCGAAGGAAGAGGCACGUCUACAUCUUCAGUCCUUUCGUCGUUGAGAAACUUGGCAAGAUGAGCAAGGCAAUUGGUAGUGUAACUAGCAUUGGAAAGAAUGUUGUCUGACUUGUGCAUCCUUCUUGUUGAUACCAAAAAACAUGGGAGCAACCUCACUGAUUACAUAGAUAAUAAAUUGGACAAAUGCUCGAAGUCGGGCAAACUGGAGAACAAGGAUAAAACAUAAAUAAACUUGGGCAACUAUUUAUUUUUUGUCUUUUUCUUUUGGCCUCUUUUCAUAUGUAAUAUAAUAUAUAAUACAAAUACAUAUAUAUAUAUAUAUAAUAUAGCCCACUCGGCAAAGAGAACAGAAAGAGACAAGAAGAAAGAGAAAGGAAGGAAAAGAAAAUAAAUAAAUAAAGAAAAAGGAAGAAAGAGAAGAGGACCCUUUCGGGCAAGAAGGGAACGGAAGAGACAGAAGAGAAAGAAAGGGGAAAGGAAAAGGGAGAGAGGGAAAGAAAUAAUAAAAAAGUAAGGAAAGAACCUUUCUUUCUUAGGCCGAGCCAAGUGAAGGACAGACCUUGAGAAAGGGACAAGGAACAGAAAGCAAGAGAAAAGAAAAAAGAAAAGGAAAAAGAAAGAGAUAGAUAGAGAGAAAAAGAUACCCACGUUCUCUAGCCUUUCCUUUUCUCCAAAAGAGAAGCUGUUUCUCUGUUCGAGGCACCACUUAAAGAUCAAGGUGCGGCAACCAAAAUCCAAGUCUGAGAGAGAGAGAGAGAGAGAGAGAGCAAUCCUUGUUCGUUCCCAAAUUUUGCCUCUUUGGAAUUAAGAGAAGUGGAAAGAUGCCUCUUAAGCUAGCCGACGCCACCAUCUCCACCUUCGAUUGUGUGUUUGACAAAUUCAAAGUAGAAGCUCUAAACAACAAAAUCAAUUUCAUCCUUUUCUUGGCUGACAAUGACCCUUCUACCUCUUGGUGCCCUGAUUGUGUGAGAUCUGAGCUUGUAAUCUACAAAAGGCUAGAAGCUAUACCAGAUGAUGUUGCACUGUUGAGGAAAUCAAACUCCUCUGGUGUUAUUUUGUUCAGAGCCCUCAUAGUCUUUCACACGCGAUCCUCAUCAGAUAGAGCAACCUUCUAGCUGACCAUAGUACCUCAGCUUUGAUUGAAGUAGGAGCAGGCCCUCCUCCUUGGUUCUGUUCAUGCAAAUUAAGCCUGAUUUGCAUCUUGCUGUUUGUGACCAAACCGAUCACCAGACUUUUUGUUCUUCCGGAGAGCACCCGAUGACCGUACUCUUUAAGGCAGGAAUUGGUGUAGAAGUGCCACGCCAAACUCGGCUAUUGGGCUCCGAAUAAUCAAUUUUAGGCUGGAGAUGGAGCUGGAGAUUUGGUAGAAUGGUUUUUGCAUGACCUCAGUUCUGAUCUUCACCACUGGAAUUUCAUCAGGGAGCAAAACAGCUUCCCUAAGCUGUAGUUGAUUCUUUGGGACGGAGUGAGAUGCAUAGUGCGCUAGCACACUCCCCUCCCUAACCAGCAAAAAUCCAGACUUUUCUUCCCAUACUGAGAGAUAAUUAGGGAAACUAGAAAUCCCCGAGAUUGGGGAAUGGAAGAAUAUCACCUGCAAUUGUUGCUUAUUGAUCCAUUCCAUUGAGGUCGGGAGCUAUACUAGACUUUGAUCCGCUGUUUGAUGUUCUUUGCCCGAGCUGCGGUUCCAAGACACCACCCAUGGAUUCGUUUUUGGAGUAACAAUACCACAUCGGGCUCAUGGGAGUUUGCAAUAACCCUGCUGUCGAAAGCAUUGUUGGAAUUAAGAUCGUUAUCACUUCCAACAUGAUGUUGCAGCGCAGGUUUUGGCUGGAAUUUGUUGGGAGGUAACGACGAGCAGCUGUGAGCUACGAUGUUGUUGGUUGACUUGUUUUUCACAGAAGCUUGCUCUGUCCACCAUUUAAGCAAUUUUUGGGCUAGGAAGCCAUUGACAGGUUUGUUGGGGGAGUCGGUGUAAUUUCCAGCAUCUCCUUCAGGGGCAGCUAUGGCACGAGCACUUCAAAUACGUUUGCCCGAUCAAACAUGGGGCCCCAUGUCUAAUUGACAACAUCUAAAUAAAUUGUAGCAGAGAAAAAGUCUUGCUCAUCGGGCAAGAUUAUAGCUCCAUCGGGCAAUAGCAACAUACUUUCAUCAAGCAUUCGGGCAAACUGCAAAAACAAUUCUGCACCCACCAUCCAACCUCCACGGUUUAAUCGUAGCCUCAAUGGUAGUCGUCGAAGUAGCCCGACCCUUGGUUGUAGGAGCUGGUGAGAGUUAGGGAGACAUGCAGAGUCUGUUGGUGGUGAACAGGGAAGACGUCACUUCCGUCGGGCAUGGUUAUGGUGGUCUCAUCGGGCACCACCAAUCGGGCAAGAUAACCCCCCUGCUCUUUUGCAAUAGCCAUUGAGAAGCUGUCUGAUAGAUUUUUGCACAGGAAAGCCAUGAUUUGGCUUUUUAUAAAACCUCCAAUUCCAAGAUUCUGGGUGAGAUUUUGUGGAAAAUGUAGUUUUAUUGUAUGGUUUUGGGUUCGGGCUAAAUACACCCAUUGGAUAAGAGAAAAGGUGGAAAGAAGGGUAAAAAUGGCUACUCACAAACUGCCCAACUCUUUAUAUUUUCUGUAAAAUUCCCCAGCAAGAAAACAAAAAGGGAAAGAAAGCAAGAAAAAACAAAGCAAGAAAGCAAAAUGUUUUUGUAAUUUUUGGAAUUUUUAAUUUUUAUAUCUUUUUCUUUGUAACAACACAAGAAACACACCAAGAAAACAGAGCCCUUUCGGGCAAACAGAAAAAGGAAAUUAAAGGCCUGUCAAGCAAGUUGGAAAAAGACAAAUAAAAAGAAAGACUUGUCAGACUUUCUUUAAAAAGAGUAAAACAUAAAAUGGACAAAAGCCCUUUCGGGCAAACCAACACCAAAGGAAGAAAUAUAAUCUUUUUAUUUUUCUUUGUUGUCCUUUUUUUUUUAAAAGCUAUACAUAUAAUAUAAUAAAAUAUACACCUACGAAAAGCCUUCGGGCAAAACACUUUUAUCAUAUAAUAUAAUAUAAUAAAUAUAGAUAUAUAGAUAUAAAAGUGUUUUGGGCAGCAGAAAGACAGGUGAGAGAGAGACAAGAAGGAAAAGAAAGGAAGAAAGAAAGAAAGAAAAAGAAAAGGAAAGAAAAAGGAAAAGGAGGAGAAGGGUACUGGAGAAAAAUGCACAAAAGAAUAACAUAAAAGAAAGCCAUUCGGGCAAAUUGGAUGAAGCCCCUUGGCUACUCAAGUGUUAUUUUUCUCUCAACACUCAAAUCUUUUUCUCUUUUUAAAAUUGAGUGUAGAGAGAUCAAACCCACCAUUUAAAUUGGCCAUGCUAUGUAGCUUGGGAACCAUAGGAGGUGGCCAUUCAUGUUUGAUCCCAAGCUUUGUCCUCAUUGAGAUCUCGAUGCGGACAACAUGCUUGUGUUGGCGGGGAAGAUUAUAGGAGCUAUUUUCUUCUUCUUCGGGCUCCACAUGAGGUGUGGGCUCAUGCCCCCCGAGCGUUGGUGUUUGGCCUACAACGGCUUGGACUUCUACAACCAUAUCCAUUUUCAUGGAUUUUUCCUUGGGUGGGGCCAUUGUUUGGCCUUCAUCAACAUGUAUGAUCUGUUCUUCCUUGGUUGUAGUAGGGUGAGUGUGCUUUGUAGAGGGGAUUUGACACAUUUGAUCUAUCAACUUUCCCAAAGUUUCUCCAAAAGUUGUAUAGCUUUCCUCCACCUUUUUAAAACACUUAGUCAUCUCUUCACCAUAUUCGAUGCUUGCCACAUGGAGUUUUGACACCUUCUCUAAUUUGCCCACAUCCUCUUUGUAGAGCUCUUCAUCCGAAUGAUCAUGAGUUGGCAUCUUAUAUAUUGGCUUUAUGUACUUAUUGGAAGUCUUUUGAUACUCAAAGCCAUUUGUUGGCCUAUCAUAGUAUUCAUGAAUAUGAUUGUCUUCAAAAGAAUAAUAACCUUCAUCAUAACCAUAAGUUGGCCAAUCUGUAAGAUCAUUAUUUAUUUGAUGGCCAUUAGUUGGCCGACAAUCAUGUUCCAUGGGACUUGAGUACUUUUCAGCCAUGUACCCAUAAGUUGGCAACUCAUAGGUUGGCUCUAUGUGAUAGCCAUAGCUUGGGCGCUCUUCCACACCAUCAUCUUCCGAAAAAGCAGAAAAAUCAUGAACAUAAGGAUUGUUCAUGAUCUAACUCCAUAUAAGGAUCCCACCGGGCGUGCCAAAAUAUGUUCGCUCCCUAAAUCCGCCAUGGCGCCUUGCGGGCAAGCCGGGGAUUUACUUCACAUAUGAGAUUGGUGGGUGCGGGCGUGCCACUACUAGAUGCCGCUAGUAGACGGGAUUUGAGUGAUUGAGGUUGCGCCUGAAUUUGCCCGAAUCAAGAGAUUGUGUCAUUUGAGUGGGAGUUGCUCAAAUUAAGGUUCUUUGUUUGCCUUAAAAAUAAGGACUUUACUUAUAUGGAGAGAUAGAACAAUAUGUAAAUGACAAGGUUGCUUGGAAAUGUAACUGACAGAGGAAAGUGACUAAUAUUGCAGAUUGCUUGUAAUUUAUAUGACUGGAAAUGAGUACAUAAAAGCUACAAAUGAAAUCGAUACUACAAGUGAGUAGCAGAGCUAAUAAACUAGAGAAAAGAAGGCUUUUUGGUGAAGGUUGAUCCCGAAAGGGAUGAAGGCUUGGUGCUGACUACAGCUUCGUUUGAAGGCAAAUCUGGCUUGAGCAGAGUUUUGGCUUUUGUUUGUUUGUUUGAGUGUCCAUAAUCCUUGUGCAGCUGCUCCUUUUUAUAGAGGUCUGGAGGAAACCCUCCUGCUGAGGUUUUGUAUCUGCCCGAAAGAAGCUUGGGCAGCUUGUAUUUCAUUGCUUUAGACAGCUUGCAUGCUUUUCACUUGCCAACUUGCAUGGAGAAAUAAUAUUAAAAGGGGAACUUGCAUUUCCACCACAAGCUUUUAGCACAUGUUUUCCCACUUGUAAUAAACUAACAUUUAAAAGAAGCAAGUUGGCUUCUUUCACAUGUUCCUUGCCCGAAAGCUUGCUGAUGCUUUUCCAUCCACUUGCAAUACAUGCAUGUAUCUUGAUUAAACAAAUGCUAGACAAACCUCCACCACCCAAACAAAUAGGAGAAACAAUAUUAUAGUGUCCAACCCCUCCACUUGCAUCUAAAUAUCUUUCCAAGUUAGCUUUCUUGCAUAUUAAUCCUCCAAAUGUCAUAUUUUACCCAAAUUGCCCAAAUAAGUAAAAAUGGGUAUAUUUUGAGUGCAAACAACAUGUCAACCUCCUGUACCACUUGUUGGAUUGAACCGUCGGUAGUCUGAAGCCAGAUAUAAGACUUCAUCAUCUGAGAAUGAGUUGGCACCGAUGUGGCUUUAGAAUUCCAACAUUACAAAGUACACGAAAAAUAUAAAACAGUUAAACAACCCACCCACCUUCACCCCCUCCAAAUAAACAAAAACAAAAAGAGAGAACAAAUUAACACUCAACAAGUAGAGGCGGCUACAAGCAUUCAAAAGAAACGAAAAACAGAAAACAAUCGAUUCGACUAUGGCUUGAAGAACAAAGAAAAGAAAACAUAAUGCAUUUAUCUAUUAAACACUAGACAAAGACGACAUAACAUAGUGGAAAAAAAGGAAGAAGGGGCAUAAAAAGAAUCACGAAGAACGCGUACGGAAAAGUGAUAAUACCUCAGGUUCAAUAACAGUCAUGUCACCUUCUGACAUUUGAACAAUCCCAAGUUCUGAGGCUUAAAAACUGGAGUGCAUCAGGCAAAAGAAAACAGCUUUAUGCUUCUUUUGCAGCAACUUGCUGAUACCCUGUUAAGUCAAACAAAAUUAUAAUUAGCAGCCCUUCUAUGCAAAUCCUUACCCAAAAUUAAAGUUUACACAAAUUUAACAUAAACCCAAGUUAGCUAGGGCAGUAAACCACCCUUUGCAAUCCCCAAGCCGUCGUUUAGAUUAGAUUAGAAUAUCGCUUUCAAAACAUAAACCCAGCUCUUACUUGCCAUGAAACAAUACAAGUUCCAAUUUUUCCUAACAAAUCUAUACUUCAUACAUAUAUAUUUCCACUAAACUUAAUUCCAUUUAUUCCCAAGUACAUGAAAAAGCAUUCUGGUGAUUAUAUUGCCCUAAAUCAAGUGAGAAAAAUUGCAAUUCAUAGGUAUUUUAGCUGAAUUUCUCGAUUAAACUAACUGUUAUUACCAGUAAAUGAUUGUUUUUCCUAAAGAUUUUAGUUCACCGAGCUCCGGAUUAAAGGGUACUUGGCAAUUUCAUUUUUCUAUUCAAUCAUUUCCAUUUUCCCGCACUUUCUGGGCAACCAAACAGGCAUACAGAAGAGAAAAAAAACAUGGUAAAGAAAAGCAAAAGGACAGACAAUUAAUUAACACGAAGGAGACAUACGAAAUGUACGGAUUCCAGGUAGGGGGAGCUUUGAAUUGCAGAGAUUUGGCGGUUGUCGGCGAAUCCCCAAAAAUGGAUAAAAUUGCGAAUAAAAUUUAGGAAAAAAAAAGAAAAAGAAACUCUCGUGUGACUGAAGUUGCGUCAAAAAUCAAAAGGUCUGCAAAUCACACGUCAGCGUUUCGUUAGGGUUUCCUGACCUCUUGUAUUUAUUUUGAUUUGAUUGAUUAGUGUUGUUUGUUUGUACAAUUCCUGGUGCGGGCCCACCUUAACCAACGGAUCAUAUUGAUCAUCAAUGUGACCUGGUAAUUAGCAGGCUUUGAUUGAAAAUGGUUCUUAUCAAUGAGGCCCGUACUCCCCUUGUAUAGUUGGACACUGAAUAUUGAGUUAAACCUCGUUGCAGUGAGAGGUUUUUGUGUGAGGCCAUCGCUGUUGGUGAGUCAUUUGUGUUGUGCGCAAGGUCUAAAAUUAUUCGACAGCCUGCUGCUAUUAUCACCAACUAGGUGAUCAAAAGUACGUCCAGUACUCUAAAAUUAUACAUGAGCAUCACUCAUGUCAAUCAUGCAUAAACACUCAUGAGCAUCACUCAUGUCAAUCAUACAUAAACAUUCAUGAACAUCAUUCAUGUCAACAUUCAUGAGCAUCACUUAUGUCAACAUCCAUGAGCAUCACUCAUGUCAAUCAACAUAAACAUUCAUGAACAUCACUCAUGACAAUCAGCUUUGAAAGUUUCAUUUACAGAGCUCCAACUUCAAGAGCUCCAGCUUCAAAAACUUCAUUUACAAAGCUCCAGCUUCAAAAACUUCAUUUACAAAAGCUCCAGCUUCAAAGCUUCACCUACAAAGCUUCAGUGCAUGGUUUACAAAGAUCGCCUCCGAACAACUGCCACUUCGGUCCAUACAUGGAUUGAAUUUGAAGUCUCCAGCCAAUAGCCUCUAUUGACUGAAGACUUGGGGGACUGCACUCUGUACCAUAUAUUGGGCUUCCACAACUAGGUCUCAUGAAAAAUACUUUGGGACUCUAGUCCAUUAUUUAUGUACUGAGGAGCGAACCCUUAUUCUAUAAAAAGGACUCCCUUACUUUCAUUAGAGAGCACACAUUAUUCAUGUACUGAGGAGCGAACCCUUAUUCUAUAAAAGGGACUCCCUCACUUUCAUUAGAGAGCACUCAUUAUUCAUGUACUGAGGAGAGAGCCCUUAUUUUAUAAAAGGAACUCCCUCACCUUCAUUAGAGAGCAUCUCCACCUGUUGAGCAACCGCCUCGCCCCGAGCAUCAACUCUUAGCCCAUCACUUAUGUAUUAAAGAGCAAGCCCUUAUUCUAUAAAAGGGACUCCCUCACCAUCAUUAGAGAGCAUCGCCGCCUAUUGAGCAACCGCCUCGCCGCGAGCAUCAACUAUAGCCCAUCAUUUAUGUAUUGAUGAGCGAGCCCUUAUUCUAUAAAAGGGACUCCCACACCUUCAACGCCACAAGCGGAGCCAACCAAGGCAACAUAAGCCACAAGCAGGGCAACCUCGCAACAUGAGCUACUUUUAGUUGAGCAUCAUUUCAGAUUGGGCACCGCCUCAUAUCGAGUAUUAGUUCUAGGCGACAUCUAGUUACUUCGGCCCACACGUGGACUAAAUUUCAAGUCUCCAGCCAAAAGACUCUCUUGACUGAAGACUUGGGGAACUACUGUUUGUACCAUACUUAGGGUAUCCAUAUUUAGAUCUCGUAUAAAUACUCGGGAGACUCAAAUGUAAUUAUGUAAUAAAUGGAGGGGCAAAUAUGUAAUAAGUGAGGAGCCCUUAUUCUAUAAAAUGGCUUCUUCACCCUCACAAACCGAAAGCUCUCAUCCUCACAAACAGAGAGCUCUCUCAAACUCUCUCUUUCUUUGGGGGACUCCCCCUCACCCUUGUAAUCCAUACGUACAGUUAGAGAGAAAUACAAUCAACAUCAGUGUGGACGUAGCCCAAACAUUUGGGUGAACCACAAUACAUCUUGUGUUCUUUACUUUCUUGCAGAUUCACGGUUGGAUUUACGUUGUUCCAAGACCCCUCCGGUUUUGUGCAUCAAAAUAAAUCAUAAUUCCCAUUUACGAAAUUUCAUAAUCACCCUGGAAUUUUCACCACAAACACAAUACAAUUUAUGUAUGUAUUUCACAUAUAAAACAUGAAUGCCACUUCAUUCACAAAAUAUGAAUUAAUACAACCACAAUGCAUUCCACAAUCCAUAUAACAAGAACUCAAGAAUAUUGCAUAUUGUAGAACAUGAUCAUUUGCUCUGAUACCAUUAAAGUUGUCACGCCCGAUCCCGACAUAUGUCCAAGAUCGAUACGUGACGUUACAAAAUACCCAUAUCACUCACACACCCCGCUUCUAGGAUAUGGACAAUGCACAACUCAAGAUUCAAAUUUCAUGAUAAUUUUUCUUAUACUUUAUGGUUGCAUCUAACCUCCUCGUUAGACUGUUUACGUACCCUCAAUAGGGAUCAAGCCAUUCGUAGUUCAACUUCGCUAUAACUCGACAUAUAACACAGUAUGUUCAAGCCAAAAUGCAUAACAUUCCUCAAUCAAACAUUUGGACUUGACAAGCAUGAAUUAUUCGAUUCAAACUACAUAACAACCCGCAUGACAAUCAAGGUUUCUAUUUCAUCCAUCAUAUAAAUCAUUAUGUUUCAACAUAAAAUUGCUAUUCAUAUCAUGUAAUAUAUCAAAGAAUCAACACAGCACAAUAGUAUCCUCUAGUCGCAUUAAUCAUUGAUCUAAUCAUAUUAAUAACAAUCAUAUUCAACAUCCUUCCACAAUCAUCUCAAGUAACCCAUUCCAUGAUAUCAAGGAGGCACGAUAUUAACAUUUAAUUAUGUUAAUCAAUCAAUCAAUCAAAUCACACCUCAAUGCACAAAAUUAAUAAAGGACUUCUACAUAGUUCUCUGCCUGGAUUUCAAGUAAUAACUUGAUAAUUCUAAUUUAUAUUCACAAGAUAUAUUAUGGGUACAUCCCAUUCAAUCGAAUCCAGGGAACAAGUCUAACUUAAGGAAAAGAGCAAAAGUAGGGAUAACGGACCACUCAACGUAAUCCAAAUCAGGAUACGAUUCCGAACCAUCACUCAAUGGAAUUGCGGAGUAGAAAGGAUUUUGGACCAUCUCUCAACGGAAUCUGAGUGGAUACGAUUCUGGACCAUCACUCAGCGGAAUCGCGGAGUACAAUGCAUAACAACCACUAAAUGAAACCCAAGUUGGAUACGAUUCCGGACCAUCACUCGACGGAAUCGCAAAAUAGAAGGGAUUCCGGACCAUCACUCAACGGAAUCCAAACAAGCAUAUGAUUCUCCCAUCAAAUGUACCAAGUACAACUAAUCCUCCUCACUUUUAGAAUGCAUAUGGUCCCCCAACGCGGAUUAACCAAGUAGGUAGUGACUCCCCAAAGUGUAUUAACCAAGCAGAGUCAUACCUACAAAACUGUUAGGCAAUGAUCACCUUAUGCGGAUUAACCAAGCAUGAUCACCCCUAAGUAUAAAUGGCCAUAAGGAUCACCCAACGCGGAUUAACCAAGCACGAUCCAUAAAUAGUAUGGUCCGCCAACGCGGAUAAACCAAGCAAGACCAGCCAUGCACCACGUCUACAUAGUGCAGUCUCAUCAUCACACCUUAUACAUAAUUAUACGCAUACAUACUAUCGAUUCCGCAUAUCAACCAGCAUUCAGUCAUAUGGAGCACAACACAAGGAAUUCCCUCAAUUACUAAUUCUACUAAAAAUCUAAUAAAGUACCUAACUCAUCUCCUGACUUUCAUCUCCAUCUCAUGCUAGGUAAUAGUGCAAAGUUCAAAUAAGUAUUCAGUUGGCAAUCAUAUCCAAAUAAUUAUCAAACAAUAUUUAGAUCCCAUAAUUGUCAUAACAUUCUUCAUAAUUAUCAUUCACAUUAUUAAAAGUUAAUUAAACACAUAUCUAUCACAAACAUCAUCAAUACACAAGCCAAAUCAUAUUUAAUUAGCAUAGGUCUAUGGCCAAAUAUAUAAAAUUCACAUUUCAAUAGAAAUCAUAUUUAUAAGACCAAUUCAUAUUCACAAAUGAUACUAAUAGUAGAAAUUAAGAUAAUAAUCAUAUUUCAUAUAUUCAAGUCGCUAUCUAACCAAUGUAGGCCCACUAGACUUCACUUAGUCCCUCAUGAUACUAAUUUUAGUAAUUAGGACGUUUCGAGACAUGUUGAUCAAAAGUCAACUUUUGGUCAAAGGUAGGGUCCACAAUUCUACACAAUUCAAUCCGGAAGAUCCACACCUUGGAUUUCGGAUAUGUAACUUUCCAAAGUCCACAUUAUGCUCAAAUAACAACAUGCUAAAAUCUUAACACGAUCCGACGAUUGGAUCUCCGCCAAUUAAAUUCAAGUGGCGAUCGACAUUUAAUUUUACAAACUUAGAAAUCCAAUUAGGGAAGAUCUGUAUGUCGGAUUCUCGAUCCGUAAGUUUCUAUGAUCCAAAAAUAUUAUGUUCUAUCACACAUUAAGAUUUGGUGACAAUCCAACGGUCGGAUCGUCGAAUCAUAUUUUUGACCUAACCACGUAUCGUAAUGAAAUUAGGUUCAAACAAUCAAAUCAUAUAAUAAGGAUAUCAAUUAUGAAAUCAGGGCAUCUAAUUGAACUUAAAAGGACAUCAUCGGCCCACUGGCCAGGCCGCCGCAGCACACGCCGUCGCGGGUGGCGGUCGGCCACCCCGACUUGUCGGAAAAUUCAACUAUUUUUAAAAAUUACUAAAAAUUAUAGAAAUGAAGAUCUCAAAGAGUAAAAAACUUUAUACCUAUGGCCAAGUUCAAUUUGGCCGGGAAACACUUCAAUUUCACUCAAACCCGCCGAAACCCUAGAAAAGGGUGUGCUUUGAUUCGGCUUCCAAUCGAACUCCGACGCCUCCAACACUACUUGAGCUUUGUUCCUGGGGUUGAGAGAAGUCUUUUGGUGGUGGUCAUGGAUGGUGAAACUUGUCGGAGCCACCGGGAAAAGGGAUAAAGCUGCCGGAACACCCGUGGGUUUGUGGCUUCGAACUGGAAAAAUGGGAAGGAAAUUGUGAAAUCUAACACUACCAGGAUGUAGGGCUCAUCAAAGGCUUUCCAUGGACACCAAGAUCACCCAAAACGGAGUUCGUAUGAAUAAGAUAUGGCCGGGUCAAAAAUGGUGGUUCGUAGGUCAAAAAAUGACCCAUUUCAGGUCCCUACUUUCCCCUCCUUCUCCUUCUCCUGAUUGGGCAGCUCCUAACCUUUUAAAAAUCUGAUUGGUUCCCUCCCUCUUCUAAUUGAUUGGUCCCUUAAUCCAAAUAUCUGAUUAGGCCUCUUUCCCAUAAAGUGGGAGUCUAAAUAAUUCCUAAAUUCUAUAGUAUCCCAACUUCAAACGCCCGUAACUAUAUCGUUAUAACCCGAACUCGUAAACGGCUUUUGCCUAUGCGUUCGUGAUCUCUAAAUCUAAUCAACAAUAUAAAUUGUGACCUUGAAUGGUCUACGGAUUUUAAAUAAUUAAUUUCCCAAAAAAUAAUAUAAAAACUCAAUAAUACCAAUACUUAGAUUAUAAUAAUGAAAUCCAGGAAUGGGAUUUCACAAUUUAUAUGUCUGUUCCUCCUGGUCUUCGGCGACAGUGGGAGAAUCUUGUGUGUCGCCUUCACAAGUCUCUUUAUGGUCUCAAGCAGGCUUCUCGCCAAUGGUUUGCCAAAUUCACUACUGCCAUUCUUUCCGCUGGCUUUCAACAAUCCAAAGUUGACUAUUCAUUGUUCACUAAAAAGUCUGGUACUUCUUUUACAGCCUUGCUCAUUUAUGUGUAUGAUAUUGUGAUUACAGGCAACGAUGUUUGUGCAAUUGAUUCUCUGAAGUCUUUUCUCCGUGAUCAUUUUCGGAUUAAAGACCUUGGUGAUUUAAAAUAUUUUUUGGGCAUUGAGGUUUCUCGUUCCAAACAAGGGAUUUAUAUUUCACAGCGCAAGUAUGCAUUAGAGAUUCUCAAGGAUUAUGAUUUUUUUUUAGCACAACCCAUUACUUUCCCUAUGGACGACACAAAAUUCUCUGAUAAGGGAGAACUUCUCAAGGAUCCUGAAAAGUAUCGCUGAUUAGUAGGACGGUUGAUCUAUCUCACAUAACUCGGUCGGACAUCACCUAUUAUGUGCAUGUUCUGAGUCGUUUUAUGCAUGAGCCAAGGAUACCUCAUAUGGAUGUUGCGCUUCGUGUUGUUCGUUAUUUGAAGGCUACUCCAGGUCAAGGCUUAUUAUUCCGUUCUGACAACCAAACCAAGUUAACUGCAUUUUGUGACUCUGAUUGAACAGGUUGUCCUAUCACUUGCCAUUCGACUACUGGGUAUUGUGUAUUCUUGGGCAAUUCUUUGGUUUCGUGGCGGGCAAAACGACAGGAAACUGUUUCACUUUCUUCAUCAGAAGCAGAAUAUAAGGCUAUGGCAAGUGCUUGUUGUGAGUUAAUUUGGCUUCGGUUUCUAUUGAAAGACUUGAACAUUCCUUUCGAUGGUCCUUCCGUUUUAUUUUGUGAUAAUCAAGCAGCAUUACAUAUAGCAGCUAAUCCUGUUUUUCAUGAGCGGACUCAUCACAUUGAGAUGGAUUGUCACUUUAUACGAGAUAAGAUUGCAGAUGGCACUAUAGAAACCAAGUAUGUUGGUACGGCACACCAGUUGGCGGAUUUGUUUACCAAGCCUCUCGGGAAAGACAAGUUUUCGAGUAUGUUACGCAAGUUGGGAGUUCUUGACAUCCACUCUCCAACUUGAGGGGGGGUGCUAGACAAGUAGAAACGUAGUUGGAAUCUAUGUAUAAUUGUAAUCCUAGUUAUAGUUGUAUUCCUAACUUGUGGGAUAAUUUCUUGCUGACCAAGUUAUGUAAUUGUAUAUAUUUGUGUUUCACGUAUCAAUGAAAUGCGCUUCAAACCCAUAUAUCUUUUUCUACAUAUUUUAAAUUGCAUACAAGCAAGCUUCCGCCAUUUAAUUGUUGAAAGUAUGCCAUUUCUUGCUUAAUGAACUUAGAUUUUCAUAAAUUUUCCUUCAGUUAUAUGGAUCCCCAAGCCUUCCGGCAGAAAUUCAGCAAUAAUAAACCUGGGUUUUGGUCACAUUCGCUAUUGAAGAUAAACCAACUUCGACAACCCGCUGCAGCGCAACCCACGAGGUCACCCACCUUCAGCCCUCGCGGUUUGAAGUUUCGAUCGCCACGAUGCCAGCCUUAUUCCACAAUAGCAGCAGCACUCCAGAGACCCGUCGCUGCAACCCAUGAAGCUUCAACCCGCGGUUCGUACCACCAGACCCCAGCCGCAACCACAUUUGAAUCCCUCGGCAGCCGUCCCCCGAGCACAGCUUUCCCCGCGACGCAACUGCAGCUCAACCCACGACCAGUUUCGGUCACGAGCUUCGAGUUCAACCUUUGGUGGUCUCGCGUUUCCCAGAUCUUCAGUCAUGAACAAACGAUGGUCUUUGUGCAGCCCGAAAAGGCGGAGAUCGACGAGGAUAAGGAAAGAAAUGGAUGAAGGGAUAAGGAAGGAAAGAGAGAGUUGUGUGGCUGUGCGACCGUUUGGAUGAGAGAGACGGAAACAACAAUAGAAAAGGCGCUGGCUGCUGCAACAAGAAGGCUGGGUCCAAACUUGAGCCUAGUGGCCGUCCAGCACAAAAGGGAGAAGGUGCUGCAAUGGUUAAGCGGCGUGGGCCUCCUCUCCUCUUGGCCUUGAGCUAUUAAAAAUAAAAAAUAAAAAUCAGGGAGGCAACAAAGAAAUUGAAUAAAACAAAGAUAUGUGGCCUUAUAAAAGAAGGCUCAAAUGUACACCAGAAGAAGGAAGGCAGAGAAUUUUUGAAAUUUGUGUUCCUUCGGUGACUCGGGAAAUUAAGACACCUUCUUUAGCAACUCUCCUUAUUCGGAGAUUUCGACAGACUCCACUAUAUGCUACUACAUUUCGAUAGUCAUAAGUUUCGUAAUUACUCAAUGACUUGGAUUUUGUAAGUCCCAACUAAUAAACUUUCCUCACUCGAGAACUUGGGAGAGAACUAUUUGUAUUAUACUUGACCAAUCCUGAAACUAUCGUGCAUUGGUCAACUUCCUACCUUCAAGGACCCACUGAAGGGUUCGUGCUGAGGCACUCCUGCCGAAGCACAAGAGUUUCUCUCCAAUUAGAAUGCCAAUUUAGUUCCUGAAUUAUCACAUGAGUGAAAAUUAGGUCCCUAACUUCUUCUUUUUUCAGAAAAAUUAGUCUUUGAAUUAUAAAACUCGGUCAAUUACAUCCCUAAUAUUAGAUUUGAAGCUACGAUAUUCAAUUUUCCAUCAACUUAAGUCAUGGUACAUGCAUGUGAUACACAUUUGAGGGUAGAUUGGUAAUUUUACAUAAAGAAUAGUGUUUGGUAAUUUUACUUAAGUUGAUGAAAAUUGAAUAAAAAAAGCUUUGAAUAUAAUAGUAGAGAUGAAAUUAGUAAUUAACCGAAAAAUAAUUCAAGCACCUAAUUUUUACUAAGAUAACAAUUCAGGGACAUUUUAUCCUAAAUCAAUUGCAUCUUUUGGGUUUCUCACCACUCCUUGAAACAUCAAUUCAUUUAUGCACUUCCAAAUUCUCCAAAGAACAAAAACCACCUCCUACAUAAUCUCCUCUCUCCGCUGCUCAUCCUUACAUCGCAUACCAAUAUACUCCAACACGCACGAAAAUCAAUCCCCACAAACGCCGUUGCAUCCAGUUGUAAUGAGCAGCAAUACCAAAUGACACGACUAAAUUUACACCCAAAAAAUAGGUGUUCUUCCAUUUCCUCAGCACACCCACAAAGGACACAUGAAUUGUCCACUCUCAUCCUCCUACGAAUUAGAUUGCACCGAACAGCCAUAGAGUUGUUACAACACCUCCAAAUAAAAAAAACUUCAUUUAUUUGGCACAUGUAAUCUCCAUAUAUUCGGAUUAUUGUUUAAGUGUCGAUUAACGUGUUUAUUUCUUAUUGGUGACACAUAAUUUGGUUUGAAAUUGACUUAUAAAUUUGGUUAAUCUAGCAUUACUCACUAGACACAGUCAGACUCAUUCACAAUCUAACAAAUGUCCCUAACUUAAGCCAUUUGUCUCCCCAAUAUACUUGGGUGUAGAAAACUGAUUAUAGCAGUAUGCUUCUAUUGAACUUGAACUCAAUGUUCUAAACCUUCUUCCCAUAAUUUAGAUUAGAUUAGAAUAUUGCUCAAAUUAGAAAAUUUAGAUUAGAUUAGAAUAUUGCUCAAAUUAACAUUCUUCCCAUAAUUUAGAUUAGAUUAGAAUAUUGCUCAAAUUAGAAAAUUUAGAUUAGAUUAGAAUAUUGCUCAAAUUAGAAAAGCUAGAUGUAGCCCCAAACUUAAUCCGCAUGAUGAACAUGCAAAGUAUGAUUACGUUGUAAACACUUAUUUAAAUAAUAUUGAUCAUUCUUGCUAUAAUAUCUCACCUACUGAAGCGUGCACAUUGCCUCGCUUUUAAAAAUAUUAACUUUCAUCCAGAUUUAGUGGUUGACUAGAAAGGAUAAUACUUUCGAAAGUUGUUGCUUUAAUAAAAUUAUUUUACACUAAGAUUUCCACACCUUGGUGAAUCAAAAAAGUAGUUUGGCGGAAAGCAAAUUUUUUAAUCAAAAAAGUAGUUUGGCGGAAAGCAAAUUUGUUAAACACUCGCCUUUGUUUUGGUUGCUUGUAUUUUAUCAAAACUUAGUGGGUGGGCAAUGCAUAAUUCAAUAUUAUAAUGCAUAUAGAUUAUUGGGCGAACUAGAAAAAGCAGUAAAUUAGGUGGAAAGAAAAUUUGUUAAGGACUCACCUAUAUCUGGUGCAUAAAAAAACCUCAUUUUAUCAAUCAUGUUGUCUAGUGAAAUUAUUGUAUAGCUUAGUGCUUGAUGUAGUUUAUCAAGUGGAAUUAUUCUGCUUUCGUAGCUGAUUGUGCUUCUUCUUGGUCUUAAUUUGACUCUAAUGAACAUGGUUGAACUUGAAGGAAUGUACAGCUUCAAAGUGCUUUACCCUAGGAUUUCAGUACCUUGAUGAAUAAAAAAAAUAGUUUGUUGGAAAGCAAAUUAGGUAAAGACUCACCUAUAUGUGGUGCAUCAAAAAGUUUCAAUUUAUCAAUUAUAAUGUCUACUGAAUUAUUGUAUAGCGGGCAUUUCUAAUGGGGACGCUAAAUGGUGUCUCCACAACCUUAUAGCCUCUAAAUAUAUGGACAAAGGGUUUUCAAUAGGCUUCUAAUGAGCUGGACUAAAGGUUGUUACAGUAUCCUAGUGUAUAGAGACUCGCCGGAUACCUCAAAAAAAAUCUCAAAUGUAAAGACCGCAUAGGGACUCAAAUAGUACGCCCAAAUGUUGAUUUUGAGUGGGAAACAAACCUCACCCACGUGAUAAUGUUGCACAGAAGCUUCUCUCACCACCAAACUGACGCAACAUCACUCAUGGACCCUUACCGCACUUGUGUCAUUUUCUUUUCUUUUCUUUUUUUUUUGUUGAACCAUUGAGAAACCAACGGUUGAGUUUUUUUUUUUUUUUUUUUUUCUUGUUUUUAUUAGCAACCACAAUACUCUAACGAAAUUAACAAUGAUUUUUUUUUAAUAUUUUAGUCCCUACAUUUAAAGAUUCUAUUAUAAGGUCUCCCAUUGAAGAUGCUCUUGGUACUCGAUGAACUUUAUCAAGUGGAAUUACUUUGCUUUCCUUAGUAAUUGUACUUGGUCUUAAUUUGACUCUAAUGAACAUGGUUGAACGUACUGCUUUUAUUACUACACAUGAAUCCCUGCAUUGGAUGCAUUGAGAAGAUUUUACAUCAGUGUGGGGAUCAGGUUUGUUGUUGAAUUUUGGGAUGUUUGUGGCACAUUGAUAUUCAACAGGUCAUGGAGAUAUUCAUACUUCAAGUACUGCAAUGUUGUAAACGAUGGGGUUUAGGAAAGGGUGGAGUUGACAGAUAAUACUUUGAUGUUGUUUUUGUGGAUGCAAAUUUCUUCCUCCUUGAUUUUGGACAAAAUUGCACCUACAAAACAAUUAACAUCUUAGGUCAAGGCCAAGAGCCUCAAGGGCCCAUGAUGAAUGGGGGGCUUUGGCCGAAGAACCUCCGAUGCCAAAGUUAGAAUUUAGAGAGAAAAAGUGUUUGAGAAUUCUAGAGAAUUUUAGCAAGAGUUGGAACUAGUUUUUGGGAGAGAAUGGUGAGCUAUAUAUAGGGAUACGGGCGGCCCUAUUAGGAGAAUAGAGACCGGUCAUUUAGGUAUUUUUGGUUGUAAAUUGUGGUUGAUUAGCCAUUAAUAGUUUAAUUAGGCAAUAAAUCUAUUAAUGGACUAAUUGACAUAUUUUGAAAGAAAUUAUUUGGGGAGUUAUGGAAUGAUUAAAAUAAUUAGCUAAUUGAUUAGCUAAAAAUGGAAAAAUGAGGUAGAAAAUAUAUGGAAUGAAAUAGGUUUUGGGAGUUACCUUGUAGAAGGGAUUUGAUGAGAUAGGUUUUGAAUUGUUACCUAUUUUGGGCACUUUUGAUUUAGUUGAAGGAUGAUUGCUCGCUGCUCGUGCAUAGGAAUCUCGUUGUACCUCAAGGGUAUUUUUAUCCUCUUUUAUCCAAAAAUCCACGUGUCGCAUUAUGAUUACUUUUGGCUCCACAGUUUUAGCAGCAUCUUUUUGGCUCAUGCAUAUCUUGGUGACACUCCUGCAUCUACCAUUCAGUUGGAGACGGAGAUUGGUGACUGCACUUUUAAAAUUAUGACGGACAACUACUAGUGUACUUAACUUGUAUUUGAUUUUGUGGCCUUGUCUCAAUGUCGACAAUUUGCGCACUAUAUUUUUACUUUUGAGGAAGCAGCAUAUGAAAGAUUCAUGCCAAAGGGUAAGGCAAAUACAUGUAAAAAUAUGAAGACAAAAAAUCACUAAUUCAAGUCAAUACAUUUUCUAUUUGCAUUGUAGAAAUUUUGAUUUUGUUCAUCACUUAUUGUCUCCUCUUGUAUGAAAAAGUUGUUCUUUCUAAUACCAUGGAAUUUUUUAUUUUGCAUUGUGAAAAUUUUGAUUUUGUUCCGCUUUUUACCGUGAAUUCGGCAACUAUUUUCGUCGAGUGAAGUAUUGUCACGUCCUGGACUCGAAAUGAGUGAAAGAAAUGAUCUCGGGCCCGUGUGUGAAUAAAAAUAAAAUAAAUAAAAAGAAACUAAAACAGGUUUGAAAACUAGCUCAUUUAAAAAUGAUGCAGAAGAAUAAAUAGGCUGGUAAGCUGAAAUGAAUGGAAAAUUGAUUUAUUUAAUAUACGAGUCAACUACACAAUAAAUCAGAAUUUACUAAAAUACAAUAAUCACCAUUCAACUUCACGUAAAUUUCACGAAUCCCUUAAUUCUCUAAAUUGAUUUGCAGCCUUAGAUGCUUGGAUUCGACUCCCUGAUCACUGAUGUGAAAAUUGUACUGUAAUCCGACUUAACUCAAGUUAUGAAAAUACAGUAAAGAAGUUGGAAGGCUACAAAGUUCCCUCUGUCUCACUUUCCUUCUUUUUCUUCGGAUCUGAAAACUAGGAAAACAAAUGUUGUUUUCCUCUUCAUUCUUUUCUCUUUCUUUGUGGUCCAAUCAAAAUCCUUCAUAUGUGACCCCAUGUCAUCCUUCAUAUGUGGCUAGCUAUCAAUUUGUCACGUGGCCAAGUCAACCAUUUGUCGUUGCCAAAUGUCAAUCAUUUGGUCAUCCUCUAAACUAACAAAUAUUCCGAAAGAUACUAUCAUAUCACCACUAGUUUCAUCCUACUAUUUCCGGAUCAUCAAUUGUUCUCAAUCAAAAUAAUAUUUUUUUCCGAUAUCUUAGUCGUCCGAAAUAACGACUACUUGUGAAACAUUAAUAAUUUCAGGGUUUCACAACCUUCAUCUACUCUUCACGAUCUUCAAGUUGGUAUACUUUGUUCCUGCAUUAAUAGUCGUUUUGGAGUCGGAUGUUUAGAAACCUAUAAAGCUGGUUUUGGCCGGUGAUUUUGGUCAGUUGCCGUCUAGAAUUGAUUGUCGUGAUAGUUAUAAAAGUUAAUCCUUAUGUUGAGUUCUAUAUGCCUGUACAAUUUGGUGUGUCAGAAAAUUGGGUUUCUAGUUUCAUAAUCAUAUCAACACUAAAUCAGGCCCAGAAAGGUGGCGUUAGAAAAAUCUGUAUGUCCCUCAAAACUUGUAGAAGGAACCUUCCUUAAAAAUCACCAUCUUGACCGGCUUAUAGAACAACUAAGCCCAAAAUUUCAAACUGACAGCACUGCGCAGUCAACCUUCUUUUCUUUGCUACAGUCAAAUGGCAUGGAAUAAAAAUCUUGAAUUUUUACACUAUUAACUUGAAAGAUCACAAACACACAUAAUUACUUCAAAUUCCUUUUUUUGAUAACUUUUUUCCCUACAAACGAAAUAUAGAAUAAAGUAUUAAAAUUAUACCAAAAUAGUUAAUAAAUUAUAUCUAAGACUAUGGUAAAAAUAUAGAAUAAUGUUGACUCAUCAGCAAGUAUUGAAAUAAUAGUUUAACACAUUUUUAUUUGGCCUAUCGAUUCACCAAACAUAUACAUACACAUAACUAGAGACAGCAAGAGAGAGAAUAGUGGGAAUCAUUCAUCCCACAGUCCCACGCAUGGAUUCUCCCCAAUUCAACGAAAGUCCUCUUCCUUAUGUACACAAAAUAACAACAAACACGUUUUUGAGUAAUUAUAUAUCUGCCUGCCCCUUUUACUUUUGACUUUAAAGAAAGCGGCCCAUGCGAUGUACGAUUCAUGCCUAACUCUAAAGGCAAAUACAUUAUUCUAACAAACUAUUAAAACUUAAUAGAGGUAAUUUGGAUUUCAGAGAAUUUUAAUGGAUUUUUUUUAAGUGAUAAAUUUGAAAAAAAUUUAAUAGAUUCAUAAUUUUACGUGGAUUUUGACAAAUGUAUAUGGAUUCCUAUUAUAGAUUUUUAUGGAUUUGAAUGGAUUUCUUUCAUGGAUUUCUUAGGAUGCUAGUUGACUCCUACAACAUAAAAUGAAUUUCUUUCGAGUACACAAUAUGAAAAGAACAUAAACUGAAAGGAACAUAAACAUAUAUCUAUUGAUAUAGAAUACAAACCAAUCAAAUAUGUAAAUAGAAUGGGUCAUUGAGAAUAUUGAUCCAAGAGUUUGAAUAAUUGUAAAUGAUAGCUUCUGCUUUAGAACAUCAUAUCCAUUCAAGAAUGAUGAUUUCAAGUUUAAGAACAGGAUAUCCAAUCAUGAAUAAUAAUAUAUGUGAAAGAAUAUCAAAUGACAAUCGAAAUUGAGUAGGGACAUAUUUGGGCUGCAAAAUCCUGGGAUAAAAACAUUUUAACCAUGACAAAAAAAAAAAAAAACAUUUGAACUCAAACAAAAACAUGGUCACUAAUUUGCGGGAAAAAAAGGCUUAAAUCAAAAGUGCAAAUGGGAAAAGCCCAACUUAGAAAAAUCAGAAGUGCAAAUGAGAGAAUCUCAAUUCGGAAAAAGCACGAGUAUGAAGCAAAACAACAUACAACUAUAAUCCAAAUUAAAAAAAAAAAAAAUCAUGGUCCAAUUGUUACUCAUCUUCCCAGAGGAACAAACCAAGAGCAUGAAUUCAGAAAAAUACAUAAACAAUGCGAAAAACGGGGAGUCUACCGGGAAAUGCUCUAAAGUCUAAACUCAUGGUAGGAUUGUCCACUUUCUACUGUUUGGUGUGAAAAGAAAUCUUAGGGGGAGGGUAGGAUUGUCGAUACCAUUUGGGUAUUUAGAUCACCCACUCUCAAAUCCAUUAAAAUCCUUCAUUCACAAAAAUUCUAACAAAUGUUUGACAUUUCCACUACAUCUAGAUUUGUAUGGACUUUUAAAACUUUUGAUUGACUACCCAUGAAUUUGGAUAUAUUUUUUAAAUCCUCCUAAAUCUUAAUUUGACUACACCAUGAUUUUAAAAUCUUUUAAAAUCCACAUUUAAACUCCUAAUUGACUACACGCUGAUUUUAAAGUUUAUUAAAAUACUACUAAAUCCUAGUUUGACUACAUCCGAUUAGUUUCCCAACCAACAUUUAUUCACACCCAACACAUUACACUGUCAGGUGUUUUUCCAUACCACGAGUCCUGACCAUUUGAACUACACUUGCAGCUUUCCUUUUGCUCCUAAAUCAAAAUCCUGAAUCCACAGUUUUUCUUCUUCCUUCUUCAAUUGUCUUUUGGUUGAUUUAGUUCAAUUAAGAUGGAGGGUGACGGAAUCAAGUGCUUGAACAAACUCUGUCGUGCUUUAAUUGGGGUGCUAAUUUUACUACAAUGUGUUGUCAACCCUUCCCAUUCCCUUGGAUUCAAUAAUAUUUCUUCAGGAGGAGUGACGAGGUGCUUUGAGAGGGAAAGAGAAGCACUCCUUGCUUUCAAACAAGGCCUCGUGGAUCACUACAAUCUCCUCUCUUCGUGGGGAAGAGAAGAUCACAAGCAAGAUUGUUGCAAAUGGGUAGACGUCCACUGCAGCAACCGAACCAACCAUGUUACUCAACUUCAUCUUGGACGGGAAAGUCUCGUGCAUGUCGUACAGCGUGUCCCGCCUCCCCCGGUUCUCAGGGAUGAAACCAGAAAUUUAACUAAGAGGGGGCACCUUAAAAAAUUUGAGCUCAUUUUUUUGACAAAUAAAGUUAGUUCUUUUACAAAUGUUGAAAAAAUUAAUUACAAAAUGCCUAAUUUUAUUACUCUAUUGUCUAAUUUUGUUUUUAAUUGUUGACAAUGUAAUGCUCAUUUGUACUAAUUAACCAAAUACAUGUAACUCAAUAAGGUUUAGACAUUAGUGUGUGAAAAAAAUAUACAAGACGGAUGAGCAUUUGAAAACUAAAAAAAGAUUUUCACUAUUUUAAUAUAAUUAAUUGAAUAAUCUGCCAAGCAAAAAAAAUAGGAAUGAUUAAUUGAAUAAUUUGUCCUGAGAGACCACGUGUCGUGAGCCGUUCCUGCUGCGACUCAGCGCUUUGUUCGCAGAGAUGAGCGAUAGGAUCGUCCCCGUGGCGGUCGACUGUAAGCAGAGCAUGUUCUACGGGACCACCGUCCGUGGGGUCAAGUUCUGGGACCCCUACUUCUUCAUGAACCCGAGGCCGACGUACGAGGCCACGUUUCUGGACCGGCAGCCGGACGACAAGUUUCUAAUUCCACAAAAUACAAAAAGACUUAAAAAAUGUAAACAGAAUGAAACAAUCAACGCGGAAUUGUGUUGAUUGUUGCAGGCUUUGUCAUUAUUUUGGAGAGAAGAGUCAACGUCUAAUUACUACACCUACCUACAGAAAAGUAGGUGGUCCACUCACACAUGUUCCAUACUUGACCAUCUGAAUCAAGACAACUCAGUGUGUGGAUCGUAUUGUGAACUAUUACGUAGUCACCCAGCCUUAUAAUACACUCGCAUCUUUCCUUGUGCUCCUAAAUCAAUACUGAUUGUACACUUCUUCUUCUUCAUUCUUCAAUCAUCUUUGCCUUGAUUUUGUUGAAUUAAGAUGGAGAAUGACGGAAUCAGGUGCUUGAAGAAACUCUUUCACACUUCCAUUGUGGUUCUACUUUUUCUACAAUGUUUCAACCCUUCCCUAUCCUCUGGAUUCUAUAAUGUUUCUUUCGGUUUCGGAGCAAUUGGCCACCGGGUGGUGACGAGGUGCAUAGAGAGUGAAGGGGAAGCACUCCUUUCUUUCAAACAAGGUCUGAUUGAUGACUACAAUCUCCUCUCCUCCUGGGGAAGAGAAGAACACAAGCAAGAUUGUUGCAAAUGGCUUGGCAUCCACUGCAGCAACCGAACCAACCAUGUUGCUCAACUUGAUCUUGGAUGGAAUCAUAUGAAUGAAGUUUACUCACUUCAACAGAAAGAACAGCAGGAGUAUCCCGAAUAUUACUUUCAAGGUAAAAUGAUGAGUCCUAAACUAAUUGAGUUGAAGCAUUUGAAAUAUUUGGACUUUUCUUCCGUUAACUUCACUGGGACCCAGCUUCCAGAUUUCAUUGGUUCUCUUUCCAAUUUAAGACACCUCGGUCUCUGGGAUGCUUCUUUUGGUGGUCGAAUUCCAACUCAGAUCGGAAACCUUACCCACUUGCAAUAUCUUGAUCUCAGAUCCAAUCACUUUGCUAAUAUAGAAAACCUGAAUUCAUGGUUGCCUCGUCUUUCUUCUUUAAUAUAUUUGGACCUGAGUUUCAACAAUCUUAGUAAUGUUCCUGACUGGUUGGAAAUAGUUAGUAAGCUCCCUAAACUUACAAACUUGUCUCUGUCUUCUUGCAGUCUUCCAUCUCCUCUAAUUCAUUCCAGUACUCUUUUUAACAUAAAUUCUUCUAAAUCUCUUGCUCAUGUUGAUCUCAGUUACAACCAACUCACAUCUUCUUCCAUAUUUCUUUGGUUGUCCAAAUACAAUGCCAGCCUUGUUCAUCUUGAUCUCAAAUACAAUAACUUUGCUAAUGUAGAAAAUCUGAAUUCAUGGCUGCCUCAUCUUUCUGCUUUAACAUAUUUGGACCUGAGUUACAGCAAUCUCAGUAAUGUUCCUGACUGGAUGGAAGCAGUUAAUAAGCAUCCUAAACUUACAAACUUGUCUCUGUCUAAUUGUGGUCUUCCUUCUCCUCUAAUUCAUUCCAGUACUCUUUUUAACAUAAAUUCUUCUAAAUCUCUUGCUCAUGUUGAUCUCAGUUACAACCAACUCACUUCUUCCAUAUUUCUUUGGUUGUCCAAAUAUAAUUCCAGCCUUGUUCAUCUUGACCUCUCUUACAACCAGUUAACUGGCUUAUUUCCCGAUGUCAUUGGAAACAUGAGCUCUCUUGCAUAUCUAGAUCUCUCUUCUAACCAAUUUGAAGGGGUGAUUUCAGAAAGUCAUUUCUCGGGUCUCUCCAGAUUAAGAUCUUUGUAUCUGUCCUCUACCUCACUAACUUUAAACUUCCAUUCUAAAUGGGUUCCUCCCUUCCAAUUGGAUUAUAUAAUCUUGGGGUCUUGCAAGAUGGGUCCACAUUUUCCAAAUUGGCUUCAAACUCAGAAAAGUUAUUGGAGCCUUGAUAUUUCUAAUGCAGGAAUUUCUGAUAUCCUUCCAAGUUGGUUUUGGGAAAGGCUGUCUCAUGCUCGUGAAAUUGGUUAUGUAGAUCUCUCCAACAACCAAAUCAGAGGAACAAUUCCAAACUCGCAAAUCAAUUUUGUAUGUUU